CACCUGGUUGAUCCUGCCAGUAGUCAUAUGCUUGUCUCAAAGAUUAAGCCAUGCAUGUCUAAGUAUAAGCAAUUUAUACAGUGAAACUGCGAAUGGCUCAUUAAAUCAGUUAUCGUUUAUUUGAUAGUUCCUUUACUACAUGGUAUAACUGUGGUAAUUCUAGAGCUAAUACAUGCUUAAAAUCUCGACCCUUUGGAAGAGAUGUAUUUAUUAGAUAAAAAAUCAAUGUCUUCGGACUCUUUGAUGAUUCAUAAUAACUUUUCGAAUCGCAUGGCCUUGUGCUGGCGAUGGUUCAUUCAAAUUUCUGCCCUAUCAACUUUCGAUGGUAGGAUAGUGGCCUACCAUGGUUUCAACGGGUAACGGGGAAUAAGGAUUCGAUUCCGGAGAGGGAGCCUGAGAAACGGCUACCACAUCCAAGGAAGGCAGCAGGCGCGCAAAUUACCCAAUCCUAAUUCAGGGAGGUAGUGACAAUAAAUAACGAUACAGGGCCCAUUCGGGUCUUGUAAUUGGAAUGAGUACAAUGUAAAUACCUUAACGAGGAACAAUUGGAGGGCAAGUCUGGUGCCAGCAGCCGCGGUAAUUCCAGCUCCAAUAGCGUAUAUUAAAGUUGUUGCAGUUAAAAAGCUCGUAGUUGAACUUUGGGCCCGGUUGGCCGGUCCGAUUUUUUCGUGUACUGGAUUUCCAACGGGGCCUUUCCUUCUGGCUAACCUUGAGUCCUUGUGGCUCUUGGCGAACCAGGACUUUUACUUUGAAAAAAUUAGAGUGUUCAAAGCAGGCGUAUUGCUCGAAUAUAUUAGCAUGGAAUAAUAGAAUAGGACGUUUGGUUCUAUUUUGUUGGUUUCUAGGACCAUCGUAAUGAUUAAUAGGGACGGUCGGGGGCAUCAGUAUUCAAUUGUC
rnacentral:rRNA from 1 species